rnacentral:tRNA from 1 species
ACAUCGGUAGUUUAAUGGUAAAACCUACGUCUCCAAAACGUAAUUUGUAGGUUCGAUUCCUACCCGAUGUGCCA